CGGUGACCUGAGGGUAUGGUAUACUUGGUCGAGUCCCUCGAGGGUAUAUCAUCAAAUCAGACUCAUCUUGUAACGAAGGUGUUGACUUAACCGAGCAUCAUGGUUGGUCGAGUCCCUCGAGGCCAUGGUGAUUCGGAGGCCGAACAGGACGGGAAUCACAAGGAGUUGUGAUCGGUAAGAGUUGCCUACCUUUUAGGCUUAGUGUG
rnacentral:lncRNA from 1 species